GACCAUCAGGCGCCGAGGGUCCUCGAGCGCCCUCUGGGUCAGCGCCGCCUCAUUAGCGCAGACGACGACCGCGGCGGCGGCGGCGGGGGCGGCCACAGUCGUGCAGCGGGCGCCGCCUCAACUCUCCCCUCCGUCCUGGUCAUCGCAGACCAUCUGACGUCGCUAUCAGGUGUAUCAGGCGAGAAUGGCACGGAUAUCACCGACGAAAGGAUGAGCCCCGUGUGCCUUCAGUGCCUUGGAAGGACGACGAAAGAGCGACGAUCCUGGAGUAUCCAGCUGUUGCAUGCGCAGCAACUACAGAAUUCUGGAGACCCGUAGAAGGAGCCCAACACACAGAAGAAGUGUGGGCGAUUAGAACCUUGGAAUGCAGCGGCUGCAGCAAACUGGGAUACAUCGCCAUCGCCUGCCACGGUAACAUAUGGAUAAUGACCUGGUCAGCCGGAGAACACUGACUGACGUUAAUAUGAACUAAAGAACCUAUCUCUAACAGAGCGCCGCAACGCACCGACGGCCGGAUAUUCGUCGCUUCCGCCAGAGAUAAUAACCCGCCGCCACCACCACACACUACCCGACGUGCACCGCGGGCAGGAGGAUCGAGCUGACGACUGUCGCUGCUCACUGCUGUCGAUUGCUUUACUUACAAAACUAAUUGUAAUUGAAAAACAUAUGAAUGUCAUUGUGUUAAUUAACUAACAUGUAAGGAGACUAUGUAACAGUAAGGUGACUGACGUCUUACUGUCAGCAUCUGUUAUGUUAUUACCACGUUAUACUAAAGUCAGCAGGAAGUGAACAAUAUUUUGUUACACUUCCCAUUUAAAAAGCGUACAGUGAUUAUUUAUUUUGCACAGGUUUAUUGAAAAUUAUUUUCCUGUUUUGAGUGCGGCUUACUGCAUAAAUUGAAAGUAGUUUGAGAUUUGUAAUUGAUGAAAAUGUCACAGUUCAACUACAGUUUAUUUACAGCGCUCUCCAUUCCAGAGAUACACUUUAACACUGAAAAUUUUCGAUGAAGCUAACAUUUUUACCAGGACAAUUGAAAGUGUUUUUAGUCCACAUUAAGUCUUUCAACUUCCAAAUCUGCUAACUGUUUCUCAGAAAACUUCCAAGAUUUAGGUGUAGCUUCCUCCUUGGGUAACAGAAAUACGAACACGGUCAAGAAAGAUUAUUUCAAACAUUUAGUUCAGUGCAAGGCUGAUUAAUUGAAAGUUGUGAGCAGCUGACGUUCGUGCAUCCACGAUACCUGCUCCGCUCACCGCCUGUCAUCACAGUGUAUAAGAUCUGGAAAUGGUCACAGUUUGGCCGACACUGGUUACCAUUGCCAAUAAAUAUUUUAUUGCGGUCAGGAAUGUUUUUAGUUCAGUUUCAAAAUGUUCGAUCGAGAUCGCUGAUAUUCUCCACGAUAAAUGUUCUCAAAAAUUGCUACGAGCUAAAGUUCGAAUAAAGCACAUACACGAAAACCUAUCACUUGAUAUGGCAUUCUUAUAGUUUCAAAAGGGAGUGAUAAUGAGAGUGAUAAAAUCAUAACGAAACUAGUUCAGAAUAAGAAUAAAAAAUUUUCUCUGCAUGCCCGAACUGGUCUGUACAAUUUAACACCCCUUUCAUCACAGUAAUGCACAUAUACCUUAAAGUGGGGUGAGAAUAGAACAGUUUUCAACUAUAAAAGAAAAAACUGAUACUUUUAAAAAGAAAUGUGAAAAUGAAAAUUAUACGGGUUUAUAGGUCUUGCGCUCAAACUUAUAGAUUUUGAACCUCGCGCCAUUCACCUUGCAGAUCAGAGUGAAUAGAAACAGGACAUUGUUCUGGAUACAUAUCAAAAUAGUUUUGACCUAGAAGAAUAAGAAACAAAAUU